UACGUAGGGUGCAAGCGUUAAUCGGAAUUACUGGGCGUAAAGCGUGCGCAGGCGGUGAUGUAAGACAGAUGUGAAAAUCCCCCGGGCUCAACCUGGGAACUGCAUUUGUGACUGCAUCGCUGGAGUACGGCAGAGGGGGAUGGAAUUCCGCGUGUAGCAGUGAAAUGCGUAGAUAUGCGGGAGGAACACCGAUGGCGAAGGCAAUCCCCUGGGCCUGUACUGACGCUCAUGCACGAAAGCGUGGGGAGCAAACAGGAUAGAUAC
rnacentral:rRNA from 1 species